CAAUUUAAACAACGAAGAGUUUGAUCCUGGCUCAGGAUGAACGCUAGCGACAGGCUUAACACAUGCAAGUCGAGGGGCAGCACGGUGUAGCAAUACAUUGGUGGCGACCGGCGCACGGGUGAGUAACGCGUAUGCAACCUACCUAUCAGAGGGGAAUAACCCGGCGAAAGUCGGACUAAUACCGCAUAAAACAGGGGUUCCACAUGGAAAUAUUUGUUAAAGAAUUAUCGCUGAUAGAUGGGCAUGCGUUCCAUUAGAUAGUUGGUGAGGUAACGGCUCACCAAGUCCACGAUGGAUAGGGGUUCUGAGAGGAAGGUCCCCCACACUGGUACUGAGACACGGACCAGACUCCUACGGGAGGCAGCAGUGAGGAAUAUUGGUCAAUGGGCGAGAGCCUGAACCAGCCAAGUCGCGUGAAGGAUGAAGGAUCUAUGGUUUGUAAACUUCUUUUAUAUGGGAAUAAAGUGAGGAACGUGUUCCUUUUUGUAUGUACCAUAUGAAUAAGCAUCGGCUAACUCCGUGCCAGCAGCCGCGGUAAUACGGAGGAUGCGAGCGUUAUCCGGAUUUAUUGGGUUUAAAGGGUGCGUAGGUGGUUAAUUAAGUCAGCGGUGAAAGUUUGUGGCUCAACCAUAAAAUUGCCGUUGAAACUGGUUGACUUGAGUAUAUUUGAGGUAGGCGGAAUGCGUGGUGUAGCGGUGAAAUGCAUAGAUAUCACGCAGAACUCCGAUUGCGAAGGCAGCUUACUAAACUAUAACUGACACUGAAGCACGAAAGCGUGGGGAUCAAACAGGAUUAGAUACCCUGGUAGUCCACGCAGUAAACGAUGAUUACUAGCUGUUUGCGAUACACAGUAAGCGGCACAGCGAAAGCGUUAAGUAAUCCACCUGGGGAGUACGCCGGCAACGGUGAAACUCAAAGGAAUUGACGGGGGCCCGCACAAGCGGAGGAACAUGUG
rnacentral:rRNA from 1 species